rnacentral:rRNA from 1 species
AAAAAAAGCUUCUAAGCUUCAGGUAACCAGGAACCGUACCCCAAACCGACACAGGUGGUCGGGUAGAGAAUACCAAGGCGCUUGAGAGAACUCGGGUGAAGGAACUAGGCAAAAUGGCACCGUAACUUCGGGAGAAGGUGCGCCGGCUAGGGUGAAGGAUUUACUCCGUAAGCUCUGGCUGGUCGAAGAUACCAGGCCGCUGCGACUGUUUAUUAAAAACACAGCACUCUGCAAACACGAGAGUGGACGUAUAGGGUGUGACGCCUGCCCGGUGCCGGAAGGUUAAUUGAUGGGGUUAGCGCAAGUGAAGCUCUUGAUCGAAGCCCCGGUAAACGGCGGCCGUAACAAUAACGGUCCUAAGGUAGCGAAAUUCCUUGUCGGGUAAGUUCCGACCUGCACGAAUGGCGUAGCGAUGGCGGCGCUGUCUCCACCCGAGACUCAGUAAAAUUGAAAUCGCUGUGAAGAUGCAGUGUAUCCGCGGCUAGACGGAAAGACCCCGUGAACCUUUCUGUAGCUUUGCACUGGACUUUGAGCCUGCUUGUGUAGGAUAGGUGGGAGGCUUUGAAGCGUGGACGCCAGUUCGCGUGGAGCCAUCCUUGAAAUACCACCCUGGCAUGCUUGAGGUUCUAACUCUGGUCCGUAAUCCAGAUCGAGGACAGUGUAUGGUGGGCAGUUUGACUGGGGCGGUCUCCUCCUAAAGAGUAACGGAGGAGUACGAAGGUGCGCUCAGACCGGUCGGAAAUCGGUCGCAGAGUAUAAAGGCAAAAGCGCGCUUGACUGCGAGACAGACACGUCGAGCAGGUACGAAAGUAGGUCUUAGUGAUCCGGUGGUUCUGUAUGGAAGGGCCAUCGCUCAACGGAUAAAAGGUACUCCGGGGAUAACAGGCUGAUACCGCCCAAGAGUUCAUAUCGACGGCGGUGUUUGGCACCUCGAUGUCGGCUCAUCACAUCCUGGGGCUGAAGCCGGUCCCAAGGGUAUGGCUGUUCGCCAUUUAAAGUGGUACGCGAGCUGGGUUUAGAACGUCGUGAGACAGUUCGGUCCCUAUCUGCCGUGGACGUUUGAGAUUUGAGAGGGGCUGCUCCUAGUACGAGAGGACCGGAGUGGACGAACCUCUGGUGUUCCGGUUGUCACGCCAGUGGCAUUGCCGGGUAGCUAUGUUCGGAAAAGAUAACCGCUGAAAGCAUCUAAGCGGGAAACUUGCCUCAAGAUGAGAUCUCACUGGGAACUUGAUUCCCCUGAAGGGCAGUCGAAGACUACGACGUUGAUAGGCUGGGUGUGUAAGCGUUGUGAGGCGUUGAGCUAACCAGUACUAAUUGCCCGUGAGGCUUGACC